rnacentral:lncRNA from 1 species
CCACCCUGCACCCCCACCUAUGUGUACCUGGCAGGGCAGCCUCUGCAAGGCUUGUCACCCAAACCACUGGAAGGUGGUGAUUCUGGGCAUUAGUGGGACACGAUCUGCAAAGACUCCCAGGGAAAGGGAAAGUCAGUUCAACAUGCUGAGGGCAGCAUUUGCCAAGACCCGAAAACAAGAACAAACAGCCUUAAGAUAAAGAUGGAACUUCUCUCAACAUUGACAUUUCCAUAAGGACCAACAAAGUGAAGGAAGCAUUUAAAGUCAUGGAAAAGACUUCACCUCUCUGGGUCACUACUACAUCCUCAGUGCCGGAAAUAACGCUUUCUACAUAGCAGAUGUUCAAUAAAUAUUUGAUGCAUAAAUGAACGGGUAGAACACAAGCUGGUGCAUAUACAUAGAAUUAGACUUUUCCUUUCUUCCUCCUGCCCGCUUUAGAAGAAGAUAUGAUACUGUAUAUAUUAUUUUACAAUUUGAUUUUUUUCCACUAUAG